CCUACGGGUGGCAGCAGUAGGGAAUAUUGCUCAAUGGGGGAAACCCUGAAGCAGCAACGCCGCGUGGAGGAUGAAGGUUUUCGGAUUGUAAACCCCUUUUGUUAGAGAAGAUAAUGACGGUAUCUGACGAAUAAGCACCGGCUAACUCCGUGCCAGCAGCCGCGGUAAUACGGAGGGUGCAAGCGUUACUCGGAAUCACUGGGCGUAAAGAGCGCGUAGGCGGGAUAGCAAGUCAGAUGUGAAAUCCUAUGGCUUAACCAUAGAACUGCAUUUGAAACUGUUAUUCUAGAGUAUGGGAGAGGUAGGUGGAAUUCUUGGUGUAGGGGUAAAAUGCGUAGAUAUCAAGAGGAACACUGAUGGCGAAGGCGACCUGCUAGAACGUAACUGACGCUGAGGCGCGAAAGCGUGGGGAGCAAACAGGAUUAGAUACCCCUGUAGUC
rnacentral:rRNA from 1 species